rnacentral:rRNA from 1 species
AUGAGGAGCUUGCUCCUCUGAUUCAGCGGCGGACGGGUGAGUAACACGUGGGCAACCUGCCCUUGAGACUGGGAUAACUUCGGGAAACCGGAGCUAAUACCGGAUAAUAUUUGGAACCUCCUGGUUCCUUAUUGAAAGAUGGUUUCGGCUAUCACUCAAGGAUGGGCCCGCGGCGCAUUAGCUAGUUGGUGAGGUAACGGCUCACCAAGGCGACGAUGCGUAGCCGACCUGAGAGGGUGAUCGGCCACACUGGGACUGAGACACGGCCCAGACUCCUACGGGAGGCAGCAGUAGGGAAUCUUCCACAAUGGACGAAAGUCUGAUGGAGCAACGCCGCGUGAGUGAUGAAGGCCUUCGGGUCGUAAAGCUCUGUUGUUAGGGAAGAACAAGUGCGAGAGUAACUGCUCGCACCUUGACGGUACCUAACCAGAAAGCCACGGCUAACUACGUGCCAGCAGCCGCGGUAAUACGUAGGUGGCAAGCGUUAUCCGGAAUUAUUGGGCGUAAAGCGCGCGCAGGUGGUUUCUUAAGUC